rnacentral:rRNA from 1 species
GAUGAACGCUGGCGGCGUGCUUAAUACAUGCAAGUCGAGCGAACAGACGAGGCGCUUGCUCCUCUGUCGAUAGCGGCGGACGGGUGAGUAACACGUGGAUAACCUCCCUAUAAGACUGGGAUAACUUCGGGACACCGGCUCUAAUACCGUAUAAUCUAUUGAACCGCAUGGUUCAAUAGUGAAAUACGGUUUUUCUGUCACUUAUCGAUGCAUCUGGGCGGCAUUAGCUAGUUGUUAAGUUAACGGCUUACCAAGGCAACGAUGCGUAGCCGACCGGAGAGGGGGGUCGGCCACACUGGAAGUGAGACGCGGUCCAGACGCCUACGAGAGGGAGCAGUAGGCAAUGUGCGGCAAUGGGCGAAAACCUGACGGAGCGACGCCACGUGAGUGAUGACAGUCUUGCGAGCGGAAAACUCUGUUAUUAGUGAAGAACAAAUGUGUAAGUAACUAUGCACGUCGUGACGGUAACUAAUCAGAAAGCCACGGCUAACUACGUG